GGAGGCGUGCCCGAGCGGCCGAAGGGAGCGCACUGCUAAUGCGUUAAGGGACGUCAAGUCCCUUCCAGGGUUCAAAUCCCUGCGCCUCCGCCA
rnacentral:tRNA from 2 species